ACUACCAGGGUAUCUAAUCCUGUCUGCUCCCCACGCUUUCGUGCAUGAGCGUCAGUGUUAUCCCAGGAGGGCUGCCUUCGCCAUCGGUGUUCCUCCGCAUAUCUACGCAUUUCACUGCUACACGCGGAAUUCCACACUCCUCUGACACACUCUAGCUCGGUAGUUAAAAAUGCAGUUCCAAAGUUAAGCUCUGGGAUUUCACAUCUUUCUUUCCGAACCGCCUGCGCACGCUUUACGCCCAGUAACAUUCCGAUUAACGCUUGCACUACGUAUUACCGCAGCUGCUGGCACGUAGUUAACCGGUGCUUGUUCUGCGGUACCGUCAGUUGCACGGGGUAUCGUGCGUUUCUUUCCUGCCAAAGGUAACACAGCCCGAAGGCCUUCAUCGCACACUGCCGGAUGGCUGGAUCGGGGGUUUCCCCAUUGUCAAAAUUCCCCGCUGCUGCGCCCGU
rnacentral:misc_RNA from 1 species